AGUGAACGCUGGCGGUAGGCCUAACACAUGCGAGUCGAACGGCAGCACACUGAGAGCUUGCUCUUACGGGUGGCGAGUGGCGGACGGGUGAGGAAUACAUCGGAAUCUACUUUUUCGUGGGGGAUAACGUAGGGAAACUUACGCUAAUACCGCAUACGACCUACGGGUGAAAGCAGGGGAUCUUCGGACCUUGCGCGAUUGAAUGAGCCGAUGUCGGAUUAGCUAGUUGGCGGGGUAAAGGCCCACCAAGGCGACGAUCCGUAGCUGGUCUGAGAGGAUGAUCAGCCACACUGGAACUGAGACACGGUCCAGACUCCUACGGGAGGCAGCAGUGGGGAAUAUUGGACAAUGGGCGCAAGCCUGAUCCAGCCAUACCGCGUGGGUGAAGAAGGCCUUCGGGUUGUAAAGCCCUUUUGUUGGGAAAGAAAAGCAGCAGGUUAAUACCCCGCUGUUCUGACGGUACCCAAAGAAUAAGCACCGGCUAACUUCGUG
rnacentral:rRNA from 1 species